AUGACAGCCGCAAGGGGAAUCAAUCCCCUGAAGCUACAGGGGUUUACUGAUGCUGAUUGGCAAGGGGAUCUUGAUGACCGGAAAUCAACUUCUGGUUAUAUGUUUACACUAGCAGGAGGAGCUAUUUCCUGGAGUAGCAAGAAGCAAGAUUCUGUAGCACUUUCAUCUAUGGAGGCUGAAUAUAUUGCUGUGUCGGAAGCUGUGAAAGAAGGUGUAUGGUUAAAGGAGUUUCUUGCGUCUCUCGUGGUGGUGGAAAGCGCUUCAUAUCCUGUUACUAUUUUCUGUGAUAACCAGGCGGCAAUCAAGGUCUCAAAGGAUCCAAAGUUUCAUAGCAAAACCAAACAUAUUGAGGGAAGGUAUCACUACAUUCGUGAUGUCGUUAAUAGAUUAAAAAUAGUUCGUUUAGAUUAUUUACCUAGUGUGGACAUGGUUGCUGAUCCACUUACUAAACCUCUUAGUCAGGAAGUAUUUUGUAAACAUGUUUGCAACAUGGGUCUUCGUUUCUGGAAUUAG
rnacentral:rRNA from 1 species